ACAGCAGCCGCCACGGUAAUACGAAGGGGGCUAGCGUUGUUCGGAAUUACUGGGCGUAAAGCGCACGUAGGCGGAUAUUUAAGUCAGGGGUGAAAUCCCAGAGCUCAACUCUGGAACUGCCUUUGAUACUGGGUAUCUUGAGUAUGGAAGAGGUGAGUGGAAUUCCGAGUGUAGAGGUGAAAUUCGUAGAUAUUCGGAGGAACACCAGUGGCGAAGGCGGCUCACUGGUCCAUUACUGACGCUGAGGUGCGAAAGCGUGGGGAGCAAACAGGAUUAGAUACCCCUGUAGUCCCUGUCUCUUAUAC
rnacentral:rRNA from 1 species